CGAGGGGCAGCAUGGUCUUAGCUUGCUAAGGCCGAUGGCGACCGGCGCACGGGUGAGUAACACGUAUCCAACCUGCCGUCUACUCUUGGACAGCCUUCUGAAAGGAAGAUUAAUACAAGAUGGCAUCAUGAGUCCGCAUGUUCACAUGAUUAAAGGUAUUCCGGUAGACGAUGGGGAUGCGUUCCAUUAGAUAGUAGGCGGGGUAACGGCCCACCUAGUCUUCGAUGGAUAGGGGUUCUGAGAGGAAGGUCCCCCACAUUGGAACUGAGACACGGUCCAGACUCCUACGGGAGGCAGCAGUGAGGAAUAUUGGUCAAUGGGCGAGAGCCUGAACCAGCCAAGUAGCGUGAAGGAUGACUGCCCUAUGGGUUGUAAACUUCUUUUAUAAAGGAAUAAAGUCGGGUAUGGAUACCCGUUUGCAUGUACUUUAUGAAUAAGGAUCGGCUAACUCCGUGCCAGCAGCCGCGGUAAUACGGAGGAUCCGAGCGUUAUCCGGAUUUAUUGGGUUUAAAGGGAGCGUAGAUGGAUGUUUAAGUCAGUUGUGAAAGUUUGCGGCUCAACCGUAAAAUUGCAGUUGAUACUGGAUAUCUUGAGUGCAGUUGAGGCAGGCGGAAUUCGUGGUGUAGCGGUGAAAUGCUUAGAUAUCACGAGGAACUCCGAUUGCGAAGGCAGCCUGCUAAGCUGCAACUGACAUUGAGGCUCGAAAGUGUGGGUAUCAAACAGGAUUAGAUACCCUGGUAGUCCACACGGUAAACGAUGAAUACUCGCUGUUUGCGAUAUACAGCAAGCGGCCAAGCGAAAGCGUUA
rnacentral:rRNA from 1 species